AGAGUUUGAUCCUGGCUCAGGAUGAACGCUAGCUACAGGCUUAACACAUGCAAGUCGAGGGGAAACGACAUCGAAAGCUUGCUUUUGAUGGGCGUCGACCGGCGCACGGGUGAGUAACGCGUAUCCAACCUGCCCACCACUUGGGGAUAACCUUGCGAAAGUAAGACUAAUACCCAAUGAUAUCUCUAGAAGACAUCUGAAAGAGAUUAAAGAUUUAUCGGUGAUGGAUGGGGAUGCGUCUGAUUAGCUUGUUGGCGGGGUAACGGCCGACCAAGGCUACGAUCAGUAGGGGUUCUGAGAGGAAGGUCCCCACAUUGGAACGUGAGACACGGUCCAAACUCCUACGGGAGGCGA
rnacentral:rRNA from 1 species